AUUGAACGCUGGCGGCAUGCCUUACACAUGCAAGUCGAACGGCAGCACGGGAGCAAUCCUGGUGGCGAGUGGCGAACGGGUGAGUAAAGUAUCGGAACGUGCCCAGUCGUGGGGGAUAACGUAGCGAAAGUUACGCUAAUACCGCAUACGAUCUAUGGAUGAAAGCGGGGGAUCGCAAGACCUCGCGCGACUGGAGCGGCCGAUAUCAGAUUAGGUAGUUGGUGGGGUGAAGGCUCAACAAGCCGACGAUCUGUAGCUGGUUGGAGGGGACGACCAGCCACAAUGGAACCGAGACACGGCCUAGACUCCUACGGGAGUCAGCAGUGGGGAAUUUUGGACAGUGGGCGCAAGCCUGAUACAGCCAUGACGCGUGCAGGAUGAAGGCCUUCGGGUUGUAAACUGCUUUUGUACGGAACGAAAAGGUUUGGCCUAAUAAGCUGAGCUCAUGACGGUACCGUAAGAAUAAGCACCGGCUAACUACGUGCCAGCCGCCGCAGUAA
rnacentral:rRNA from 1 species